GCCGAGGUGGUGGAAUUGGCAGACACGCUACCUUGAGGUGGUAGUGGGAGUAAAAUCCUGUGCAGGUUCAAGUCCUGUUCUCGGCA
rnacentral:tRNA from 1 species